rnacentral:rRNA from 1 species
UACGGGAGGCAGCAGUGGGGAAUAUUGCACAAUGGGGGAAACCCUGAUGCAGCGACGCCGCGUGAGCGAAGAAGUAUUUCGGUAUGUAAAGCUCUAUCAGCAGGGAAGAAAAUGACGGUACCUGACUAAGAAGCUCCGGCUAAAUACGUGCCAGCAGCCGCGGUAAU